UAAUACGUAAGGGGCAAGCGUUGUCCGGAAUCACUGGGCGUAAAGCGCACGUAGGCGGCUUGGUAAGUCAGGGGUGCAAGCUCUAGGCUUAACCUAGAAAUUGCCUCUGAAACUACCUCGCUUGAGGAUCAGAGGGGAAACUGGAAUUCACGGUGUAGCGGUGAAAUGCGUAGAUAUCGUGGAGAACACCCGUGGCGAAGGCGGGUUUCUGGCUGAUUACUGACGCUGAGGUGCGAAAGCUAGGGGAGCGAACGGGAUUAGAUACCCCGGUAGUCCUAGCCGUAAACGAUGAGUACUAGGUGUGGGGGUUAACACCUCCGUGCCGACGCCAACGCAUUAAGUACUCCGCCUGGGGACUACGGCCGCAAGGUUA
rnacentral:rRNA from 1 species